GACGAACGCUGGCGGCGUGCUUAACACAUGCAAGUCGAACGGAGUGGCGAACGGGUGAGUAACACGUGGGUGACCUGCCCUGCACUUCGGGAUAAGCAUGGGAAACUGGGUCUAAUACCGGAUAGUUGGGGAUGGGCUCGGGGCCUAUCAGCUUGUUGUUGGGGUGAUGGCCUACCAAGGCGGUGACGGGUAGCCGGCCUGAGAGUGUGGUCGGCCACAUGGGGACGGAGAUACGGCCCAGACUCCGACGGGAGGCAGCAGUGGGGGAUAUUGCACAAUGGGCGCAAGCCUGAUGCAGCGACGCCGCGUGAGGGAUGAAGGCUUUCGGGUUGUAAACCUCUUUCGGUACAGAACGGGUAUGUGCAGAAGAAGCGCCGGCUAACUACGUGCUAGCAGCCGCGGUAAUAC
rnacentral:rRNA from 1 species